rnacentral:rRNA from 1 species
AUCCUCUUCGUCGGCAGCGUCAGAUGUGUAUAAGAGACAGGUCGGGGACGUGUCCCCGUUUGUAGGUACUAUAUGAAUAAGGACCGGCUAAUUCCGUGCCAGCAGCCGCGGUAAUACGGAAGGUCCAGGCGUUAUCCGGAUUUAUUGGGUUUAAAGGGAGCGCAGGCUGAUGAUUAAGCGUGACGUGAAAUGUAGCCGCUCAACGGCUGAACUGCGUCGCGAACUGGUUAUCUUGAGUGAGUUCGAUGUUGGCGGAAUUCGUGGUGUAGCGGUGAAAUGCUUAGAUAUCACGAAGAACUCCGAUUGCGAAGGCAGCCAACAAGGCCUUUACUGACGCUAAAGCUCGAAGGUGCGGGUAUCGAACAGGAUUAGAUACCCUGGUAGUCCGCACGGUAAACGAUGGAUGCCCGCUGUUUGCGAUAUACUGUGAGCGGCCAAGAGAAAUCGUUAAGCAUCCCACCUGGGGAGUACGCCGGCAACGGUGAAACUCAAAGGAAUUGACGGGGGCCCGCACAAGCGGAGGAACAUGUGGUUUAAUUCGAUGAUACGCGAGGAACCUUACCCGGGCUUGAACUGCCAGCGAACGAUUCAGAGAUGAUGAGGUCCUUCGGGACGCUGGUGGAGGUGCUGCAUGGUUGUCGUCAGCUCGUGCCGUGAGGUGUCGGCUUAAGUGCCAUAACGAGCGCAACCCUUUUCUUUAGUUGCCAUCAGGUAAUGCUGGGCACUCUGGAGAUACUGCCACCGUAAGGUGUGAGGAAGGUGGGGAUGACGUCAAAUCAGCACGGCCCUUACGUCCGGGGCUACACACGUGUUACAAUGGGGGGUACAGAGAGUCGGAUAUACGCAAGUAUGUUCUAAUCCUUAAAGCCUUCCUCAGUUCGGAUUGGGGUCUGCAACCCGACCCCAUGAAGCUGGAUUCGCUAGUAAUCGCGCAUCAGCCAUGGCGCGGUGAAUACGUUCCCGGGCCUUGUACACACCGCCCGUCAAGCCAUGAAAGCCGGGGGCGCUUGAAGUCCGUGACCGCAAGGAUCGGCCUAGAGCGAAACUGGUAAUUGGGGCUAAGUCGUAACAAGGUAGCCGUACCGGAAGGUGCGGCUG